rnacentral:pre_miRNA from 14 species
UGGUAAGUUGAAGAGAUACAAGUGAAGCUGAAGAGAGCCGUCUAUUGACAGUUCGCUUGUUUCAUGUGCUGUCAUGGAGUCGCUCUCUUCAGAUGAUCUGAAUCUAAAUGUUAUAUUUUCC